UAGCCUAGUGGAGAAGGCUAUGGAUCGCCAAUCCGUAAACGGCGGGUUCGAUUCCCGU
rfam:Aedes albopictus isolate Foshan contig92793, whole genome shotgun sequence.